GACGAACGCUGGCGGCGUGCUUAACACAUGCAAGUCGAACGAGAAUCUACUGAAAGAGUUUUCGGACAAUGGAUGUAGAGGAAAGUGGCGGACGGGUGAGUAACGCGUGAGGAACCUGCCUUGAAGAGGGGGACAACAGUUGGAAACGACUGCUAAUACCGCAUGAAGCAUAGGGGUCGCAUGAUUCUUAUGCCAAAGAUUUAUCGCUUCAAGAUGGCCUCGCGUCUGAUUAGCUAGUUGGCGGGGUAACGGCCCACCAAGGCGACGAUCAGUAGCCGGACUGAGAGGUUGAACGGCCACAUUGGGACUGAGAUACGGCCCAGACUCCUACGGGAGGCAGCAGUGGGGAAUAUUGGGCAAUGGGGGAAACCCUGACCCAGCAACGCCGCGUGAAGGAAGAAGGCUUUCGGGUUGUAAACUUCUUUUACCAGGGACGAAGAAAGUGACGGUACCUGGAGAAAAAGCCAACGGCUAACUACGUG
rnacentral:rRNA from 1 species